GCUUUCCUUGACUCAAUCAAGAGAGAAAAGAUUAUCAGUUUGAAAGAAGUAAAAAAAAGAGCGCUAAGGAAAGUAAGGCUUCUUUGUGUUGUCAGUCUUGUAUCGAGUGGAUUGGGGUCCUUCACCCUAAGGUAUAAGACUUUCAGUAAGCCUUUCAUUCAGGUCCUAAUCCUUGUCUUGCUAAACUCCCUCCCGAAGCAAGGGCAAUCGAGUUUAUGUGCUUACAGGUCUUGUUUCACCAUUGUAUCGGCAAAGGUUGAAUUUCCUUUGGCUUGAGGUGGAAAAAUCUCUUAGCCCGUGGAUCUCGUACGCGAAAGAUAAAGAGAUCUGCUUUCCGUACUAUUUGCCACCUAUCCAGUGCUUCAUGGACGUGAGGUAAGAUUCCCUGCGAGUCAUAACUAAAAAUUUUAUUCAAUAGGUAAAAGCCAGUUUGAAAGCUGUACCUUUCAGCCGAGGUUACUAAACUGAGCUAAACGAUCCUCCUUUUACAAACUUUAAUAAAGGGCUAAGAGGCUUACUGUGUCUAAAAGGCAUACUAGUCUAAUAGUCUAAUAUCAAGGGUAUUUAAUACCAGCCCUAAUCCUCUAAGUGCUUCUCCUUUUUUUUGGAUUUCACUUUUCAUUUCCUUGUAUUGUAGCCAAACCUUCUUAAGUUGGAAAAAGCUUUGCUCUCGGUCCAUUCAACCAUUUCUCUGGGAAUUGCAUACAAAAGGAAAAGGUAGUUGAUCAAUUCCGCCCUUUAGCUUGGCACGUUGAUGGAAUAAGUGCUCUUCUCUCUUUUUCUACCCGGGGAUCUAUUCUUAUACUUAUAUAGAAUACAGAAGAAUGACAUUCCCUUCACCGAAAGCCUAGAAGUAAGCCAUAACUCUUAACGAUGCAAGGAAUAGCUAUCCUUUCGUGCCCAGGUCCAAGCUAAGUAGAUGUCUUUAUCUGGGGAAGUGAGUUUGCUUAAGCUAUUGGGAGUUCACCUCCAGCUCUUUCCUCUCCUAUUAAGUCAAGUCGAGUGCUUCUGCUUUUGAUGGGUAUUGAGAAGGAGUGGAAGUUGCAAUCAGAAGCUGAGCACAUCCUGUUCUCUUGAGAAUUGUCAACCAUAUAGUUGGGGUUGCUUUCGAUGAUGUCGAUCCAACCAAUCCAAUUAAAGUUGCUCUAACUGAGUUAGCCUUGUUUCCCUUGUUUAGUUUAGCUUUUGUGUAAAAGUAAAUGAGUCCCCCUUAUCUUAUUAAGGGUCAAGGGAAAAAGUACUAAAAGUCUGGAGGUAAGUAAAUUCUCCUGGCAGUGAGGAGGGACUUUCAUAAGGCAGUGUAUAAGGAUAUAUACCAUUUGAGAGCUUGAAGUUUGAAGAUUACUAUUCCUACCCUGUCUAAGGUGUGUAGGAUUUCUCCCAAGAGUAGGGUGUCUCCCCCAGUUCUUGUUCACCUGAUAGUCUACUCGUCUCAGUAGUUGUUCUACGAGAGCCAUAUGAGUAGUGAAUAGUUUCCUUCUUGGUAGAAGGCGACAGAGGCGAGACUUGAGAGGGUAGGUAAAGUUUCAAAUUUAGGGGCUAGAUAUAAGGCACUAAUUGCUAGAUUUCUGUCUAUUCAUCUUUUCCGGGAAGGUUUAACUAGAUCACUUUUCCUGAGCAGUGAAUGGAUAUUUUUUCUUUAAGGGAAAAUGUAUAUCAGCAGUUCCAUAAGUUGCACUUUCUUUCGAUGUUGGUCCAGGCCCCGUAUCCAUAUUGAAGUAGGCAAGGCCAAUCCAUCUGUUUCAGCUGGUUCUAGGGCAAAAGCUAGUGUAAAAGAUGUCUUUCUCGUCCUAAGCCCUAAAAGUGCUUCCGCCUUACCUGGAGUUGAAGUUACCGUUUUGGAGGCCUUUGAGUUCCAGUCUCAGUAGUGUAGUGGUCUUUCCUAUAUGUAAAGAGGACUAGUUGCGAGUGUCAGAAAAAAGUGCUUUGAUCCAGCCGAGCCUGUUCAAUCAAGUUCUUUUAGGCAAACUGAUUCUAGGGCUCACGAUAAGAUAUACAUUUUUUCUUAGGAUGGGGAUCUAGCUUUUAUUCCGGAAGGAGGGGUUUCUUAAUUCCAUUUUUUUGCUAUUCCCAUUGAAGCAGUAGUUGAAGUAGUGGCAUUCCAAUAUCAAUCUUUGUAUAAGUGUCCCUAAUGGUCAUUGCUAAGUCCGUAAGUAAGCCAGUUAUAGAUUUCUUUUUCCAAGCUAGGGAUCUAGUUCCAAGGGAGGGCUAGAUCAAGCGCAUCUAGUGUUGGAGAAAAAAGGGCAUCCAAUGCUUCUGCCAUCGAAAAAGGUUAAGCCACUACAAUAGCAGUGGGAGGAUUUCUCCCAGGGAAUUCUAUCCCUAUAGCCAGAGUCAGUCGUUGGAGUUUCUUUGCCCUUUCCCUUUAUACUUUAUAGACAAUGAACUUGUCCCUUCAUCUCGACUAGUCCUUCCGUGUUAUUGCCGUAGCAGUCCCGCUAACGGUAGUCCCUGCCCCUCAUGUUUCUGUGCCAGUUUCCCUGCCAGGGAGAAAGCUUUUUUCUU
rnacentral:lncRNA from 1 species